UACGAGGAGAGCUAGCGGUAUCCGGAAUUAUUGGGCGUAAAGCGUGCGCAAGCGGACCUUCAAGUCAUACGUUAAAUCCUGGAGCUUAACUCCAGAAUCGCUCGUGAUACUGUUGGUCUUGAGAAGAGUAGAGGCAAACGGAAUUCCCGGUGUAGUAGUGAAAUGCGCUGAUAUCGGGAGGAACACCAAAAGCGAAAGCAGUUUGCUAGGCUUUUUCUGACGCCGUUGCACGACAGCGUGGGUAGCAAACGGG
rnacentral:rRNA from 1 species